AAGUCGUAACAAGGUAUCCGUAGGUGAACCUGCGGAUGGAUCAUUAUCGUAUCCAAUACUACCUAUCUACCAAUCGUGAACCGUUUGCCUUUUAUGCAAUAUAUGCCAAUCGAAACCGUCAAACGUUUUGAUCGCUCUCUUGGAAUUGAAAGGGUGAGGCCUUCGGGUCGGCUCAUUGCAUGAAAGUGUAUUUAUAAUUCAAUUCUAUCUAUUCAUUAACCAAUUGAACCAUUUCUAAAAAUGUUUUUCUUUGUAUUGAACUGAAUUGUUUCUUACUCUUUUGAGUCUAACCGCUCGGGAGAAGAAAUCGAUUUACGAAAUAAAAAGAACAACUCUUAGCAACGGAUAUCUUGGUUCUC
rnacentral:misc_RNA from 1 species